rnacentral:rRNA from 1 species
CCUACGGGGGGCAGCAGUGGGGAAUAUUGGACAAUGGGGGGAACCCUGAUCCAGCCAUGCCGCGUGUGUGAAGAAGGCCCUCGGGUUGUAAAGCACUUUCAGUGAGGAAGAACGCCUGGUGGUUAAUACCCAUCAGGAAAGACAUCACUCACAGAAGAAGCACCGGCUAACUCCGUGCCAGCAGCCGCGGUAAUACGGAGGGUGCGAGCGUUAAUCGGAAUUACUGGGCGUAAAGCGCGCGUAGGUGGCUUGAUAAGCCGGUUGUGAAAGCCCCGGGCUCAACCUGGGAACGGCAUCCGGAACUGUCAAGCUAGAGUGCAGGAGAGGAAGGUAGAAUUCCCGGUGUAGCGGUGAAAUGCGUAGAGAUCGGGAGGAAUACCAGUGGCGAAGGCGGCCUUCUGGACUGACACUGACACUGAGGUGCGAAAGCGUGGGUAGCAAACAGGAUUAGCUACCCUGGUAGUC